GAGAAGCCCCGAAACCUCUAUAAAGUCAUACUUCUUUGAUCUGUAGCUUUCCCCUCUCUUUCUCUCUCGGGCCAGAGAGAGAAUCUGAUUGACCUUCUGCGAGGGAUGGCAACCCAGGGAGAAGAAUCUACCCCCACUCCUCAAGUUGUGGGGAAUGCCUUUGUUGAGCAGUACUACAAUCUACUGUCCAAAUCCCCAGAGGUGGUUCACAAAUUUUACCAGGAUUCUAGUGUGAUUAGUCGGCCAGAUUUUGAUGGUUUUAUGUCAUCUGCCUCAACUUUGGAUGGCAUUGACAAGAUGAUCCUUUCCCUUGACUAUAAGGAUUGUGUGGUUGAGAUAUUGACAACUGAUGCUCAAGAGUCAUUUGGGGAUGGGGUGAUUGUUUUGGUGACUGGUUUCUUUACUGGGAAGGACAAUAUCAGGCGCAAGUUUACACAAUUAUUCUUUUUGGCUCCACAAGACAGUCAUGUCUACUUUGUUUUAAAUGAUAUUUUUAGGUAUGUGGAUGAAGAAGUAAUGCCCAUUAAAAUCAAUGAUGAAGAUGAAGAUUCUCCGGCUGCUCCUGUCACACCAGAUCCUGAGCCAACUCUGGAUUCCAAUCAUUCUUUGAUGGAUCAUGCAGCUCCUCAUUUGGAGGAGGAUAUUGUUCAAGAUGAGGAAUCUGUACUUCCACUGGACAAUGGAAAGAUUUCUACCGACGAUGAAGUUGUUUCUAGUCCAUCCGUUGUUAUACAUCAGAAUGAUGUUCCCCCAGCUUCAGUCCAAAGUGAUUCUUGCUCAAUUUCAGAGGCAACUUUUUCUAAUGCCCAUGAGGAUCUUCCAAAGAAAUCAUACGCUUCUGUUGCUAAUGCAUUGAAUUAUAAGAAGCAACCAUUCCAACAAAGGAUUUUACCUGCCAAACCUAUAGAACAUUUGUGUGCAACGGUGGUGCCUGAAGUAUCCCCACCUCCAGCUAAUAACAAAUCUGUGGAAAAGAACAGUGUCGAUUCAGUUAAGGGUUACUCCAUCUUUGUUGCCAAUUUGCCCAUGAAUGCAACUGUUGAGCAACUUGUAGAGACUUUUGAGAAAUUUGGGCCUAUUAAACCUAAUGGUGUUCAAGUCAGAAGCUACAAGCAAGAAAAGAAUUGUUUUGGCUUUGUGGAAUUUGAAUCUGCUAGUUCUAUGCAGAGUGCACUUGAGGUUUCCUCUAUCAAGAUUGGUGACCGACUAGCUCAUAUUGAGGAAAAAAAAGCCAAUAAUGAAGGUGGGAAAUUCCCAUCUAGAAAGGGUGGUUUCCGAAGUGACAGUUUCAGGAACCGAGGUCGUGGCUAUGGGAGGAAUGAGUUUGACAAUCAAGUUGGAUCAUCUGGUCAAUCUCGUGGUACUGCUAGACGCAAUGGAGAAGGUAACAAGAAAAUUUAUCAGAAUGGGGGAGGAAGAGUUGCUGGACAGGGACAGGCUCAAGCACAGGCUCAAUCUCAAUCUCAAUCUCAAGCUCAAGCUCAAUCUGCGGGUGGGAAGAACUAGUUUGCUGCUUUCUGCUGGAAUUUUGUUUACUAUAAUUUUUUCCUUGAUUUUUCAGAUUGGUAAGUAUUUGGGAAAUCGGAUUGCAGCUUUUAAAGUUUUCCCCUACACAAUUUAUAGUGCUUUUUUAAGCAUUGCACUCUGUUUAAAGCAGAACAGAAUAUGCAAGCAUCUUUA
rnacentral:misc_RNA from 1 species